CGACAAGCAACUUCCUCUUCUAACUGAAACUAUGUCUCAGCUGUUUCCAGUCACACUUCAGAGAGAAGAAGGAAAAGAGCAACAGGCAUUGUCCACACGCCUCUGUGUGUCUGCACUAACAUCAAAUAAGACUGAAAAAAAAGAAAGCUAAAAAGAAGGAGAUGAAAGGAGAUGGACUGAGCAUGAGUCAGACAGAAGAGAUUACGAUGCGAACAGCCUUUCCCACAUCAUGUCUUAUAUUUCAUCAGACUCAAGCCCUCAGUCACAACACUUUCCACUUACCACAGACCAUACAUUCUAAAGCACAGCAGGCAGAACAAAAAGAAAGGAAGGAAGAGAGAGAGAGGAUGAUCUGGUAUGAUGGUAGAGAUAAAGGUCUGUGAGCAUGUGUGGAUGGAUUAUUGAGUUCUGGAGUUUCAGCCACACCAAUUGAGGAGAAUACCACAUAUGGGUCAAACGUGUCUGUUAAGUGCUUGGUCAGGCCAGUGGCACUGCCAAAACAACUGACUCCAGUCUCAGUGGUAAACAACAGGAUACUGGUGCACUAUCUUAAUGUUUUAACGUACUGAAAUAGAUUCUCUUGUAUCAAAAGAAUCAAAUGUAAAAAAAUUGGUAUCAUAGCAACAGUUUCAGAGAAGAAAGACAUCAAUAAAUAAUAUGAUACAGGCACUGAUAAAUAACUUUCUGUUUCCCGCUGAUGCUCAACACCAU